ACACUCCUGCGGGAGGCAGCAGUGGGGAAUUUUGGACAAUGGGCGAAAGCCUGAUCCAGCCAUGCCGCGUGCAGGAUGAAGGCCUUCGGGUUGUAAACUGCUUUUGUACGGAACGAAACGGCCUUUUCUAAUAAAGAGGGCUAAUGACGGUACCGUAAGAAUAAGCACCGGCUAACUACGUGCCAGCAGCCGCGGUAAUACGUAGGGUGCAAGCGUUAAUCGGAAUUACUGGGCGUAAAGCGUGCGCAGGCGGUUAUGUAAGACAGUUGUGAAAUCCCCGGGCUCAACCUGGGAACUGCAUCUGUGACUGCAUAGCUAGAGUACGGUAGAGGGGGAUGGAAUUCCGCGUGUAGCAGUGAAAUGCGUAGAUAUGCGGAGGAACACCGAUGGCGAAGGCAAUCCCCUGGACCUGUACUGACGCUCAUGCACGAAAGCGUGGGGAGCAAACAGGAUUAGAUACCCGUGUAGUCC
rnacentral:rRNA from 1 species